rnacentral:rRNA from 1 species
UAUCAGGGGUAAACCUGAGAAACCCGAAAGGUCGAAUGGGGAAAUUCAUUCGCGUUUCGAUUGUCGGCGUUGAGCGGUUGCGUGACGGUCGAGGUACGCUUCGUCCGCACCUUUCGUUUUUCGAACCGACUUCGAACGCGUGCACUUUUCUCCUAGUAGGACGUCGCGAUCCGUUGGGUGUCGAUCUAAGGCCGGUGGAGGAGCUCGUUUGGCUUGCCUUGCGAACCCGCCGUGUCCCGAUCGACUCGCUUCGACGGUAUAAAGAUGGCGAGGGGCCGCUACUCAGUUAGCGUUCGACCUACGGCAAGCACGUACGGUGUGAUGGCGAUCAGACCUGGUCGGAUCCCGUCCCCGGACGACUGUUGGCACGUAGUGUUCUCGAACAGACCUCUUUGAAACGCCGAUCUGCGACGCUACUGCUUUGGGUACUUUCAGGACCCGUCUUGAAACACGGACCAAGGAGUCUAGCAUGUGCGCGAGUCAUUGGGACAUAACUAAACCUAAAGGCGUAAUGAAAGUAAAGAUUCGUCUUGCACGAAUCGAGGGAAGAUGAGUGGUUUGCCCUUAAAGUGGCCGCUCCGCAUUCCCGGGGCGUCUCGUUCUCAUUGCGAGAAGAGGCGCACCAAGAGCGUACACGCUGGGACCCGAAAGAUGGUGAACUAUGCCUGGUCAGGACGAAGUCAGGGGAAACCCUGAUGGAGGUCCGUAGCGAUUCUGACGUGCAAAUCGAUCGUCGGAACUGGGUAUAGGGGCGAAAGACUAAUACGAACCWCCAAA